rnacentral:rRNA from 1 species
UGGGGAAUAUUGCACAAUGGGCGCAAGCCUGAUGCAGCCAUGCCGCGUGUAUGAAGAAGGCCUUCGGGUUGUAAAGUACUUUCAGCGAGGAGGAAGGCGCUGUGGUUAAUAACCGCAACGAUUGACGUUACUCGCAGAAGAAGCACCGGCUAACUCCGUGCCAGCAGCCGCGGUCAUACGGAGGGUGCAAGCGUUAAUCGGAAUUACUGGGCGUAAAGCGCACGCAGGCGGUCUGUCAAGUCGGAUGUGAAAUCCCCGGGCUCAACCUGGGAACUGCAUCCGAAACUGGCAGGCUAGAGUCUUGUAGAGGGGGGUAGAAUUCCAGGUGUAGCGGUGAAAUGCGUAGAGAUCUGGAGGAAUACCGGUGGCGAAGGCGGCCCCCUGGACAAAGACUGACGCUCAGGUGCGAAAGCGUGGGGAGCAAACA